GUGGAAUCAGCGUUUCGCUUGUUGCCGGUGCACCCCAAUUGCCAUCACCUCCUCGGUUGUUGUUUCUAGGGCCAGUCCUAUGUGGAUAUGUGCCUCCCGAUGGGGUGCUCCAUAUCCUGCUUUUACUUUGAGUGCUUCAGCACUUUCCUGGAAUGGGUGGUGCGGCAGGAGUCGGGGAUCGACUCGCUGCUGCAUUACCUUGAUGACUUCCUGUGUGUGGGCCCUGCGCAUUCUCCG